rnacentral:rRNA from 1 species
CGGGACUGGUGAGUAACGCGUGAGGAACCUGCCUUUCGGAGGGGGACAACAGUUGGAAACGACUGCUAAUACCGCAUGAUACAUUUGGGCCGCAUGGUCUGAAUGUCAAAGAUUUAUCGCCGAAAGAUGGCCUCGCGUCUGAUUAGCUAGUUGGUGGGGUAACGGCCCACCAAGGCGACGAUCAGUAGCCGGACUGAGAGGUUGGCCGGCCACAUUGGGACUGAGAUACGGCCCAGACUCCUACGGAAGGCAGCAG